CCCUUAGAUGUUCCGGGCUGCACACGUGCUACACUGGCAGGUUCAGCGAGCUUCAUGCCCUGAUCUGAAAGGAAUGGGAAAUCUUUUCAAAACCUGCCGUGCUUGGGAUAGAUGUUUGCAAUUAUUCAUCUUCAACGAGGAUUGCCUUGUAAGCGCACGUCAUCAGCGUGCAUUGAAUACGACCCUGUAUUCUGUACACACCGCCCGUCGCUCCUACCGAUUGAAGUUUUCGGUGAGUUGACAGGAGGAUUUUUUUGAAACUGGUUCGCCAGUGGAUUUUAGAUCCAAAUGCCAACGAAUCGAUGGCUUUAGAGGAAGGAGAAGUCGUAACA
rnacentral:rRNA from 1 species